AGGUGGCUUCGGCUACCACUUACAGAUGGACCCGCGGCGCAUUAGCUAGUUGGUGAGGUAAUGGCUCACCAAGGCAACGAUGCGUAGCCGACCUGAGAGGGUGAUCGGCCACACUGGGACUGAGACACGGCCCAGACUCCUACGGGAGGCAGCAGUAGGGAAUCUUCCGCAAUGGACGAAAGUCUGACGGAGCAACGCCGCGUGAGUGAUGAAGGUUUUCGGAUCGUAAAGCUCUGUUGUUAGGGAAGAACAAGUACCGUUCGAAUAGGGCGGUACCUUGACGGUACCUAACCAGAAAGCCACGGCUAACUACGUGCCAGCAGCCGCGGUAAUACGUAGGUGGCAAGCGUUGUCCGGAAUUAUUGGGCGUAAAGGGCUCGCAGGCGGUUUCUUAAGUCUGAUGUGAAAGCCCCCGGCUCAACCGGGGAGGGUCAUUGGAAACUGGGGAACUUGAGUGCAGAAGAGGAGAGUGGAAUUCCACGUGUAGCGGUGAAAUGCGUAGAGAUGUGGAGGAACACCAGUGGCGAAGGCGACUCUCUGGUCUGUAACUGACGCUGAGGAGCGAAAGCGUGGGGAGCGAACAGGAUUAGAUACCCUGGUAGUCCACGCCGUAAACGAUGAGUGCUAAGUGUUAAGGGGUUUCCGCCCCUUAGUGCUGCAGCUAACGCAUUAAGCACUCCGCCUGGGGAGUACGGUCGCAAGACUGAAACUCAAAGGAAUUGACGGGGGCCCGCACAAGCGGUGGGAGCAUGUGGUUUAAUUCGAAGCAACGCGAAGAACCUUACCAGGUCUUGACAUCCUCUGACAAUCCUAGAGAUAGGACGUCCCCUUCGGGGGCAGAGUGACAGGUGGUGCAUGGUUGUCGUCAGCUCGUGUCGUGAGAUGUUGGGUUAAGUCCCGCAACGAGCGCAACCCUUGAUCUUAGUUGCCAGCAUUCAGUUGGGCACUCUAAGGUGACUGCCGGUGACAAACCGGAGGAAGGUGGGGAUGACGUCAAAUCAUCAUGCCCCUUAUGACCUGGGCUACACACGUGCUACAAUGGACAGAACAAAGGGCAGCGAAACCGCGAGGUUAAGCCAAUCCCACAAAUUUGUUCUCAGUUCGGAUCGCAGUCUGCAACUCGACUGCGUGAAGCUGGAAUCGCUAGUAAUCGCGGAUCAGCAUGCCGCGGUGAAUACGUUCCCGGGCCUUGUACACACCGCCCGUCACACCACGAGAGUUUGUAACACCCGAAGUCGGUGAGGUAACCUUUUUAGGAAC
rnacentral:rRNA from 1 species